AUGGACAAAAUGGAAUGCAAUCCGAACAGAAGAGGGAUUUUUGCCAACACUGUGUGGCAAUGGCGCAUCAUGCAUGUAAGGAAGUAUUCAAGAAACCCAGAACCAUUUCUUUGUAGCAAUAAGAUAGGCUUGGAUUUUAAUGUUGGAUCCACCACAAAGAAAAAAAAGGAUGUAGGACUACUGACAAACGGUGUUGUUCUGGAGGUCUGUGAUUUUGCAAAAACAGUUAAGGAGAGUAAAAGGCAUUUGAUCACAAACAUUUUAGAGAAGAAUUUUGAUCUUGGAUUAGAAAACGAACAACAACGGGCUGAUUUUACAAAACACAUUCUGCUUAAACUCAAAGACCUUAUCAGAACACCUCUUCAAAACAAACACAAAGCUUUUCCUCUUUUUGAUACAUUGAGUGUGCCUUCAUGUACAAACAGUAUUGAAAAUGGACAGAAUGUGGGAUCUGCAGAGCACCAGUCUGACAGUUUACAGGAGCUGAUGGAGACUGAUUAUGGAGAAGAUGAAGCCAAAACAGAAAAGGUGGAUGGAUUCCAUGCUGAUGACAGUGAUGAAGAUCAAAUGGAGUGGUUAGGUGCAACAGAAGACAUGAAAGCAGAUGCUUGUGCACUCUUAUUUCCCUAUUGUGAAGAGAUUGGUUUGAGUUUUGACCUUGAGUCACAACAGCACCUUGAUCCGGAUUUGUUGACGAAAGCAGUCAUGUUAGAACUUGUAGACUUCAGUACACUGCUGGAUGCAUCCUACAGCUCCAUUGUUCUUGAUGUCUUAGAUUAUAAUUUUGAACUUGAUGUCAAAAGUCAGCAGGGACAAAAACAAAUUUGGUCCUCAAUAUUACAUCUGCCGAAAAGGAGAAAACAAUUUGCAGUUACCAGUGCCAAAUUGGGUCCACAGUUUGAAAAUGAACCAUUUUCAAUUCAGACAAACCCCUUAAAACGACCACGACAGUCCUGUUUAGAGGCCCCACUAAAUCGUAACGAGGAAGUAACUAAAAGGAGAAAGUCUGAUUUACAAAGAGAAGAGAACCUUUUCCAGGAAUCUACUACAAACACAGAUCAACCAUUUUCCAGUCAGUCUGAUGACAGCAGUCAUCUCAAAGAUGAAAAUCAAACAUACAUUCCUCCAACUUCAACGUCACACUUCACCGAAGCCUAUGCUUUUCAGGACAUGUCGGAAGAACUUCCUUGCAGGAAAAAAAUGUGUCUUGCUAACCAGAGAAGUGAUGUGAAGGAAGCAGUAAGGCAAAAACAACUGCAGAUACAAAGAGAAACAGUCAUGCUGCAAAGUGAUGUAGAAACUGAUGAAACCACAGAUUCAGAGAACUGGACAGAUGAGGAUGACCUACACAACACAACAAAUUCUGAAAUAAAUGUGGUCCCCCCAUUUACAAGUCAGUUUGAUAAAAGCAAGCAGCAAAGAGAUGAACAACAGAUGCUCGUUCCAACAACUCCAACAAAUGGAUGUGACAUAAUACAAGAUGAAAUGGAAUCAAUGAUCAACAUGUGGAAGUUGCGUGCUAAACGUGUAAAACAAAUCCUCCUUCAAAUGAAACAACAUGACCUUUUGAUGAAAGACAAUGCUUGGAAGCUAAAGUAUCUAGAAUUCAAUGUUGGAUUUGCUCCGAAACAGAACCUCCAUCCUGACCAACUGAAAUAUUUUUGUCUGUACAAAGUUGCUCUUUUUGCCUUAGCAAUGAAUUCAUCAAAGUCAGAAUUCAUCAUGGACAUUCUUGAAAACAACUUUGACCUUGGCCUACAGAGUGAAUACCAUAAACAUGUUUUUUCAUGUGAAAUGAUGACACAAACAAGAGAGCUUCAGAACUGUGAGGAUGCUGUCAAAUUCUCAAAAGAGGUGUUUGAACUUCCUGUUCCAAUGUCAUCAGAAGAUAUGGAAUAUCAGAUUGUUGAUGAGGGAAAUCUUGAACUCAGCUGCAUGACAGGAACAGGAACAUAUGAUGUUCCUCUUAAUUCACACUUGGAUGCUGAGCCUGGCUCACAUGCUGAAGAUGGAACAACUCAACAGGAAAGUGUAAAUCCCUAUCCCUUCUGUAAGGACAUUGGUCUGAAGCUAUAUGUAAGUGAUGGUCGGCCAAAUCAAAAACUCCACAUCAACAAACUGACUAAAGGAGCAAUGACCGAAAUCACAAUCUUUGCAGAAAAGCUAUGUGGAUCAUUUGAGCAGAUUUGUUUUGAUAUCCUCAGACACAACUUUGAUCUUGAUUUGCAAAGUGUAGACUCUGACCUCUUUCAAAACAUUCUUAGGCGCAUUCCUGCUGCAAAUGACGUAGUGAAUCUAGCAUGCUAUGUACCCUCCCACUAUAAGGACAGUAAACGUAACGUAAGAGAUGCAUCUGUACUCAAAGAACUGCAAUACCAAAACAGUACAGACUUGGAAGAAAACUGUGUUUGUCCUCCCCGGGCACCCACAGAACAAAACAGGAGGAUGUCUGCUGACACCAAACAACAACAUGGCAUCGAUUUAGUGCUGUGGAAACUGCGAUCUAAUCGUAUUCAGCGAAUCCUCUCAGGUCAUGAAGAACAUUGCCCUCUGUUUUCUUACUCAAGAUGUAAGAAAUUGGGCAUUGAUUUUAAUGUCGGAUCUGGAAUUAAAAAAAAUCUUGAUCCAAAGUUGUUGACCAAUGGAGUCAUGGUUGAACUUCACACUUUUGCCUCAGCACUGCUGUCAUCUAAAACAGAUUUCAUGACUGAGGUAUUGGAGUAUAAUUUUGAUCUAAAUCUGAACACUGAGCAUCUUCGCAGUGCCUAUGCAGAAGAACUUUUGAGUCAGUUUAUGAAAAUGAAUAUAAAAAGGCGAUCAGUCUCUCUUAAAAAACUCCCGAUCCAAAUCCCUGGCCCAAGAUGCAUAAAGGAAUAUACUCCACAUUGCUCCAAGUGUUGCCAAGACAGAAACCAGAUGCUUCUUAAGGAUGUUUUUGAGCCAAAUGACAUGUUUCAUCAUAAUCUGCAUGUCAUCACUGACACAGACUCUGGUAAUGCAGACUCUACAAAUCAAAGACAUGUAAUGGACCCAAUCUCUACAUUCCAGGCAUCAGAUUCCUUCUUCAGCUGCUACCGUGAGUGCAGUAAAGUAGGUUUAAACCUCUGUUUGUUCAACAACCAUCCAAAAGAAAAACUUAAAACACAUGAAAUAACUGCUGCAGCUAUGUUAGAGCUAUUGUCUUUUGCCAAAAGAGUGUGUGGAACAGGACUCAGGAUUUUUCUAGAUAUCCUUGUCCACAACUUCAACUUUGACCUGCGGAAACCUUCCAAUAAUUUUGUUCCUCAUUUCAAACAUAAACCAUUUGAGGGAGGCCUUGCCUGGUUUAAUGAAGUUUAUGCGAUUGAUCAACUGUUUAGUAAACAUGCCAUAAAGAAAACCUGGACUCUUGACAUGCAGGGGAGUGACAGAAAGAAAGCAGUAAGGAAAAGAAUACUGAUGAUGCAAAGAAAAAAGGAAAGAGCACUGCUGGAAAGUGAUAGUGAAACUGAUGAAACCACAGAUUCAGAGAACGGGGCAGAUGAGGAUGACCUACACAACACACCAAAUUCUGAAAUAAAUGUAGCCCCACCAUUUGCAAGUCAGUCUGAUGACAGCAAACAACAAGCACAUGAACAACAGAUGCUCCUUCCAACAACUGCACCAGAUGAAUGUGGCAUGAUACAAGAAGAAAUAGGACCAGAAAGCAACAUGUGGAAGUUGCGUUCCAAACGUGUAAAACAAAUCCACCUUCAAAUGAUACGACAUGACCUUUUGAUGAAAGACAAUACUUGGAAGCUAAAGUAUCUAGAAUUCAAUGUUGGAUUUGCUCCGAAGCAGAACCUCCAUCCUGACCAACUGAAAUAUUUUUGUCUGUACAAAGUUGCUCUUUUUGCCUUAGCAAUGAAUUCAUCAAAGUCAGAAUUUAUCAUGGACAUUCUUGAAAACAACUUUAACCUUGGCCUACAGAGUGAAUACCAUAAACAUGUUUUUUCAUGUGAAAUGAUGACACAAGCACGAAAACUUCAGAACUGUGAGGAUGCUGUCAAAUUCUCAAAAGAGGUGUUUGAACUUCCUGUUCCAAUGUCAUCAGAAGAUAUGGAAUAUCAGAUUGUUGAUGAGGGAAAUCUUGAAUUCAGCUGCAUGACAGGAACAGGAACAUAUGAUGUUCCUCUUGAUUCACACUUUGAUGCUGAGCCUGGCUCACAUGCUGAAGAUAGAACAACUCAACAGGAAAGUGUGGAUCAAUAUCCCUUCUGUAAGGACAUUGGUCUGAAGCUAUAUGUAAGCGACGGUCAGCCAAAUCAAAAACUCCACAUCAACAAACUGACUAAAGGAGCAAUGACCGAAAUCACAAUCUUUGCAGAAAAGCUAUGUGGAUCAUUUGAGCAGAUUUGUUUUGAUAUCCUCAGACACAACUUUGAUCUUGAUUUGCAAAGUGUAGACUCUGACCUCUUUCAAAACAUUCUUAGGCGCAUUCCUGCUGCAAAUGACAUAGUGAAUCUAGCAUGCUAUCUACCCUCCCACUAUAAGGACAGUAAAUGUAACUUAAGGGAUGCAUCUGUACUCAAAGAACUGCAAUAUCAAAACAAUACAGACUUGGAAGAAAACUGUGUUUGUCCUCCCCGGGCACCCACAGAACAAAACAGAAGGAUAUCUGCUGACACCGAACAACAACAUGGCAUCGAUUUAGUGCUGUGGAAACUGCGAUCUAAUCGUAUUCAGCGAAUCCUCUCAGGUCAUGAAGAACAUUGCCCUCUGUUUUCUUACUCAAGAUGUAAGAAAUUGGGCAUUGAUUUUAAUGUCGGAUCUGGAAUUAAAAAAAAUCUUGAUCCAAAGUUGUUGACCAAUGGAGUCAUGGUUGAACUUCACACUUUUGCCUCAGCACUGCUGUCAUCUAAAACAGAUUUCAUGACUGAGGUAUUGGAGUAUAAUUUUGAUCUAAAUCUGAACACUGAGCAUCUUCGCAGUGCCUAUGCAGAAGAACUUUUGAGUCAGUUUAUGAAAAUUAAGACAAAAAGGCGAUCAGUCCCUCUUAAAAAACUCCCGAUCCAAAUCCCUGGCCCAGGAUGCAUAAAGGAAUAUACUCCACAUUGCUCCAAGUGUUGCCAAGACAGAAACCAGAUGCUUCUUAAGGAUGUUUUUGAGCCAAAUGACAUGUUUCAUCAUAAUCUGCAUGUCAUUACUGACACAGACUCUGGUAAUGCAGACUCUACAAAUCAAAGACAUGUAAUGGACCCAAUCUCUACAUUCCAGGCAUCAGAUUCCUUCUUCAGCUGCUACCGUGAGUGCAGUAAAGUAGGUUUAAACCUCCGUUUGUUCAACAACCAUCCAAAAGAAAAACUUAAAACACAUGAAAUAACUGCUGCAGCUAUGUUAGAGCUAUUUUCUUUUGCCAAUAGACUGUGUGGAACAGGACGCAGGAUUGUUUUAGAUAUCCUUGUCCACAACUUCAACUUUGACCUGCAGAAACCUUCCAAGCGUUUUGUUCUGCGUUUCAAACAUAAACCAUUUGAUGGAGGCCUUGCCUGGUUUAAUGAAGUUUAUACGAUUGAUCAACAGUUUUGUAAACAUCCCAUAAAGAAAACGUGGACUCUUGACAUGCAGGGGAGUGACAGAAAGAAAGCAGUAACAAAAAGAAUACUGAUGAUGCAAAGAAAAAAGGAAAGAGCACUGCUGGAAAGUGAUAGUGAAACUGAUGAAACCACAGAUUCAGAGAACGGGGCAGAUGAGGAUGACCUACACAACACACCAAAUUCUGAAAUAAAUGUAGCCCCACCAUUUGCAAGUCAGUCUGAUGACAGCAAACAACAAGCACAUGAACAACAGAUUCUCCUUCCAACAACUGCACCAAAUGAAUGUGACAUGAUACAAGAAGAAAUAGGAACAAGGAGCAACAUGUGGAAGUUGCGUGCUAAUCGUGUAAAGAAAAUCCUCUUUGACCAGUGUAAAGAUCACUGUCGGUUCUUCAACAAGAAAGUUUAUCUGGAAUUCAAUGUUGGAUUUAUGCCUAAGCAAAACCUCAGUGCUGACAUUUUGACUCAUUCUGUCCUAUUCAAAGUUGCACAAUUUGCUUUAGCAAUGAGUUCAUCCCAGCCAGACUUCAUCAUGAAAAUUCUUGAAAACAACUUUGACCUAUGCCUGGGCAGGGUACACCAUGAAGAUGUGUUUACAUGUGAACUGAUGAAAAAACUAAGAGAGCUUCAAAGUUGUGAGGAUGCCGUCAAAUUCUCAAAAGAGGUUUUUGAACUUCCCGAUCCAUUGUCUGCUGAAGCUCAUCCUCACACUAAAGCUGAUUCACCUGCUGGGCCUGAUCCACAUGUCAAAACUAAACCAGUUUCACAGGCUCAAACAACUUCAAGUGUGGAUCCCUAUCCCUUCUGUAAGGACAUUGGGAUGAAGCUAAAUGUUGGCAACAGUCAACACAAUAAAAAACUUCACAUCCACAGACUCACUAAAGGAGCAAUGACCGAAGUGGCAGCCUUUGCAGAAAAGCUGUGUGGAACAUUUGACGACAUUUGUUUUGAUAUCCUCAGACAUAACUUUGAUCUUGAUUUGCCCAGCAUAGAUUGUGAGCUGUUUCAAAACAUUCUUGCUCAAAUUCCUGCUGCAAAUGACACAGUGAAUUUAGCGACCAUUUCACGUCAUGUGACGCCGUUGCACUUGCACAGUGACCCUAUAGUUCUCCAACAACUGCCAUGCCAGCCCAAACCCAAUGAAGGAGAACACAGUGCUGUUCUAACUCAAGCUGUAAAAGACCAUAAUUUCAGUAGGGUCAUUGACGCAGAAGAACAUGACCGUGAUUCAUUCCUGUGGACAUUGCGAGCUAAUCGUGUUCGGCAGAUCCUCUCAGUUCAUGGAGAACAUUGCCCUUUGUAUUCUUAUUCCAGAUGUAAGAAGUUGGGCAUUGAUUUUAACAUAGGAUCUGGAGAAAAACGAGAUCUUGACCCAAAGUUGCUGACCAAUGGCAUCAUGAUUGAACUUCAGACUUUUGCCAAAGCACUGGUGUCUUCCAAGAAAGAUUUUAUGACUGAGAUACUGGAGUUUAAUUUUGACCUAAACUUGAGGGGAGAGCUACAUCGAAGCGCCUAUGCACAGGAGCUCAUGAAAAACGUUGUAGCUAUGAAAGCAAAAAGGGCCACGACCCUUAAAAGAAACCAUGCUUUCGAAAUCCCUGACCCCAAAUCCGUAGUGGGAAAUGCUCCAUGUUGCCCUAAAUGCUAUCAAGACAGAAAUUAUGCAUUUCGUCAGGAUGAGUCUAAUCCAGAUCACAUCUUUCAUUAUGAUGCACACACCAAAACUGACACCAUAUCUGCUGACUGCACAACACAAAAACCUGUUAUGGACCUACUUUCUGAUUUCCCAGCAUCGGAGGCCUUAUUGAGAUUGUAUCCUCACUGUGAAAACAUAGGUUUAAACCUGUGUGUGGACAAAGACCACCCAAAAGAAAGCCUUGACAUGGAUUUAUUGACAUGGACAACUAUCAGGGAGGUUUGUUCUUUUGCCAAAACACUGUCUGGCAAAAAACAGAAAAUUCUUGGUGAUGUCCUUGCACACAACUUCCACUUGGAUGUGCAGAACUUGAACAUACAUCCCUCUCAGUUCUGCCCUGACACUCCUAGCUGGUUUGAUGAAGUUUUUGUCUUACAAACAAGGAGUCCCACACCUUCUUCAGAGGAUGCACUGAAAAUUGAAAGGAAGAAAGCAAUCAAAAGACAAAAAUUACAAAAACACAAAAAAGCUGCACUGAGUGAUAAUAUGGCAAGUCAUUUGAGUGUUGAAAAACUAUAUCCUCUUUGCAGUGAAAUAGGUCUGGACUUGGAUGUGACAUCAAAAUCAGAAAACAAAGUAAAACUGGACUUGAACCUCCUGACAAUACCUGUAAUAUUGGAGAUUCAAAAAUUUAUAUCUAAGAAACACAUAGAGUAUUUCCCCGGCUUUUUGUAUGACAUCCUGGAUUAUAACUUCGAUCUUAGCUCACAACAUCACAGGAAAUGGGAAUUUUCUCUAGAAACUGCAAGCAGAUUCAGAAUUGCACUCAAGAAAUGGAAAAAUAAAUCUGGUGGUGAAGAUACAGUCUUCAAGUUACCGUUUGUGUUUGAUAAGAAACACCGCAAAGAACCGCACAGAAAAAAAAAUAAAAGUCACAAACAGGCGUUGGAAAUGCAGAGCUGUUCAGGCACCUCGCACCUCUCUCCUCCCAGUGAUGUCAUAUUUAAAAAUGAUGGCAUCACUGAUGUUGGGACCCAAACACAUCAUGACAUAAAGAUGGAGAUGUGUGAUAAUCUUCUUCCAGGAAACUUACAGGUUAAAGAGGAGACAUGUUACGUCGAUGUGAAACCAGAUAUGGGUCGGACUGUUGAAGCAACAGCAGAGCCAAACAUUGUGGGUGUUACGCAUCUGGGUCAAAGUAAAUCUGCAGGAUCUUGUGAAAAUACCUUGAUGACUAAAUCAGUCUCAGGGUCAGAGACAGAGAAUGUGCAGUAUUUCCUCUUUGCCCCACCGACAGCAUCUGAAGGCUUUAGAAUGCUACCACCAUGUUCUAACAUUGUAGGUCCCAUGAAUGCAGGAACGGCCACCACAUAUUUUGUCCCAGUGACAGGGUUCAUACCAGUUCAAGUGAUACCUAUGUCUCAUAAUCCUGUGAAUAUAUCUAUCAAAGAGGAGCAAGAAGAUAUGCUGGUUGACCUUGGCUCCUCCAAAGAUCACUCAAAUGCAGAAAUUGAAGUGACCAUUAAAGAAGAAUAUGAUCCGUAA
ensembl:lncRNA